rnacentral:rRNA from 1 species
GAUGAACGCUGACAGAAUGCUUAACACAUGCAAGUCAACUUGAAUUUGGGUUUUUAACUUCGGUUUGGGUGGCGGACGGGUGAGUAACGCGUAAAGAACUUGCCUCACAGCUAGGGACAACAUUUGGAAACGAAUGCUAAUACCUAAUAUUAUGAUAAUAGGGCAUCCUAUAAUUAUGAAAGCUAUAAGCGCUGUGAGAGAGCUUUGCGUCCCAUUAGCUAGUUGGGGAGGUAACGGCUCACCAAGGCGAUGAUGGGUAGCCGGCCUGAGAGGGUGAUCGGCCACAAGGGGACUGAGACACGGCCCUUACGCCUACGGGAGGCAGCAGUGGGGACUAUUGGACAAUGGACCGAGAGUCUGAUCCAGCAAUUCUGUGUGCACGAUGAAGUUUUUCGGAAUGUAAAGUGCUUUCAGUUGGGAAGAAACAAAUGACGGUACCAACAGAAGAAGUGACGGCUAAAUACGUG